GUGAACGCUGGCGGCAGGCCUCACACAUGCCAGUCGAGCGGCAGCGGGUCCUUCGGGAUGCCGGCGAGCGGCGGACGGGUGAGGAAUACAUCGGAAUCUGCCCUGUCGUGGGGGAUAACCUAGGGAAACUUAGGCUAAUACCGCAUACGACCUACGGGUGAAAGCGGGGGAUCGCAAGACCUCGCGCGACAGGAUGAGCCGAUGUCCGAUUAGCUAGUUGGCGGGGUAAAGGCCCACCAAGGCGACGAUCGGUAGCUGGUCUGAGAGGAUGAUCAGCCACACUGGGACUGAGACACGGCCCAGACUCCUACGGGAGGCAGCAGUGGGGAAUAUUGGACAAUGGGCGCAAGCCUGAUCCAGCCAUGCCGCGUGGGUGAAGAAGGCCUUCGGGUUGUAAAGCCCUUUUGUCCGGGAAGAAAUCGUCUGGGCUAAUACCCCGGGCGGAUGACGGUACCGGAAGAAUAAGCACCGGCUAACUUCGUG
rnacentral:rRNA from 1 species